UGCCUACCUACCUGCCUACCUACCUACCUGCCUACCUACCUACCUGCCUACCUACCUGCCUACUUACCUGCCGUAACUACCUACCUACCUCCCUACCUACCUACCUCCGUACCUCCCUACUGUCUACCUACCUACCUGCCUACCUACCUACCUGCCUAUCUACCUGCCUACCUACCUACCUACCUGCCUCCUACCUACCUGCCUGCCUACCUGCCUACCUGCCUACCUACCUGCCUACCUACCUACCUGCCUACCUGCCUACCUGCCUACCUACCUGCCUACCUACCUGCCUACCUAUCUGCCUGCCUACCUACCUACCUGCCUACCUACCUACCUACCUACCUACCUGCCUACCUACCUACCUGCCUACUACCUGCCUACCUACCUACCUCCCUACCUACCUACCUGCCUACUACCUGCCUACCUACCUACCUACCUACCUACCUACCUGCCUACUACCUGCCUACCCACUUACCUGCCUACUACCUACCUACCUGUCUGCCUACCUACCUACCUACCUACCUGCCUACCUACCUACCUACUACCUACCUGCCUACCUACCUACCUACCUACCUACCUACCUACCUACCUGCCUACCUACCUACCUACCUGCCUCCUACCUACCUACCUACCUACCUACCUACCUGCCUGCCUACCUACCUACCUACCUGCCUACCUACCUACCUACCUACCUACCUACCUACCUACCUUUGCAUACAGCUGCUAUUACACCUUGAGGGCGAUCCGGACCGCUCACCCUGGCAUCCCCGACCGCCUUGGGUGGGCGGCGCGAGUUCCCCCUCGACUGCAACAACAGUGAGCGCGCCGCCACGUCAGAGGCCCGACAUACCCGAGCUAUGGCCGCCCUUUGUUAAUCUUCCGAUCUGGGGGACGAUGCGGGAUCCAACCGAGGGGGAUUAUCCGCCGCCGGAGGAUUAUCCGCUGGCAAGCAGCCCACCGGCGGCACCUGCGCCAGCCUUGCAGCCUUUUUGGGAGGUGAUGCCGUUGUAUCCGUCUGGCCCCUCCUCCUCCUCCUGGGUUCCUGGGGCAUACCCUGC
rnacentral:lncRNA from 1 species